rnacentral:rRNA from 1 species
UACAGAGGUCUCGAGCGUUUGUUCGGAUUCAUUGGGCGUAAAGGGUGCGUAGGUGGCGCUGUAAGUCGGGUGUGAAAUCCUGAGGCUUAACCUCGGAACUGCAUUCGAUACUGCGGCGCUUGAGGACUGGAGAGGAGACUGGAAUUCAUGGUGUAGCAGUGAAAUGCGUAGAGAUCAUGAGGAAGACCAGUGGCGAAGGCGGGUCUCUGGACAGUUCCUGACACUGAGGCACGAAGGCCAGGGGAGCAAAACGGG